AUUGAACGCUGGCGGAAUGCUUUACACAUGCAAGUCAAACGGCAGCACGGGGCAACCUGGUGGCGAGUGGCGAACGGGUGAGUAAUACAUCGGAACGUGCCCAAUCGUGGGGGAUAACGUAGCGAAAGUUACGCUAAUACCGCAUACGAUCUACGGAUGAAAGCGGGGGAUCGCAAGACCUCGCGCGAAUGGAGCGGCCGAUGUCAGAUUAGGUAGUUGGUGGGGUAAAGGCUCACCAAGCCGACGAUCUGUAGCUGGUCUGAGAGGACGACCAGCCACACUGGGACUGAGACACGGCCCAGACUCCUACGGGAGGCAGCAGUGGGGAAUUUUGGACAAUGGGCGCAAGCCUGAUCCAGCCAUUCCGCGUGCAGGAUGAAGGCCUUCGGGUUGUAAACUGCUUUUGUACGGAACGAAACGGCUCUCUCUAAUACAGGGGGCUAAUGACGGUACCGUAAGAAUAAGCACCGGCUAACUACGUGCCAGCCGCCGCGGUAACAC
rnacentral:rRNA from 1 species